UGAGAGGUCAGAUUGGUGGCUGGGAAGAACAGAGGAUCUUAAAGAGAAAUCACAAGUAGACGGAGAGGCAGCCAGAGAGAGAGCCUGAUGCGGGACUCGAACUCAGGACUCUGAGAUCAUGACCUGAGCCGAAGGCAGCGGCUUAACCCACUGAGCCACCCAGGCGCCCCAAGUACGUG
rnacentral:lncRNA from 1 species